UGGCUGAGCGGUAAAGCGCCUGGCUUCCGAACCGGGGACCAGGGUUCAAAUCCUUG
rnacentral:tRNA from 1 species